rnacentral:siRNA from 1 species
UACAUCACAGAUGAGCAUCGAG